rnacentral:rRNA from 1 species
CCUACGGGAGGCAGCAGUGGGGAAUAUUGGACAAUGGGGGGAACCCUGAUCCAGCCAUGCCGCGUGUGUGAAGAAGGCCCUCGGGUUGUAAAGCACUUUCAGUGAGGAAGAACGCCUGGUGGUUAAUACCCAUCAGGAAAGACAUCACUCACAGAAGAAGCACCGGCUAACUCCGUGCCAGCAGCCGCGGUAAUACGGAGGGUGCGAGCGUUAAUCGGAAUUACUGGGCGUAAAGCGCGCGUAGGUGGCUUGAUAAGCCGGUUGUGAAAGCCCCGGGCUCAACCUGGGAACGGCAUCCGGAACUGUCAAGCUAGAGUGCAGGAGAGGAAGGUAGAAUUCCCGGUGUAGCGGUGCAAUGCGUAGAGAUCGGGAGGAAUACCAGUGGCGAAGGCGGCCUUCUGGACUGACACUGACACUGAGGUGCGAAAGCGUGGGUAGCAAACAGGAUUAGAUACCCUUGUAGUC